rnacentral:rRNA from 1 species
UACAGAGGUCCCAAGCGUUGUUCGGAUUCACUGGGCGUAAAGGGUGCGUAGGUGGCGAGGCAAGUCUGGUGUGAAAUCCCGGGGCUCAACCCCGGAACUGCACUGGAUACUGCCUUGCUUGAGCACUGGAGAGGGAACUGGAAUUUACGGUGUAGCAGUGAAAUGCGUAGAUAUCGUAAGGAAGACCAGUGGCGAAGGCGAGUUCCUGGACAGUUGCUGACACUGAGGCACGAAGGCUAGGGGAGCAAACGGG